GAUGAACGCUAGCGGCAGGCCUAAUACAUGCAAGUCGGACGGGAUUUGGGAGCUUGCUCCUAAUGAGAGUGGCGCACGGGUGCGUAACACGUAUGUAACCUACCUUAGUCCGGGGGAUAGCCUCCCGAAAGAGAGAUUAAGACCGCAUAACAUUAUUGCGUGGCAUCAUUUAAUAAUCAAAUAUUUAUAGGACUAAUAUGGGCAUGCGGAACAUUAGCUAGUUGGUAGGGUAACGGCCUACCAAGGCUACGAUGUUUAGGGGAUCUGAGAGGAUGGCCCCCCACACUGGUACUGAGACACGGACCAGACUCCUACGGGAGGCAGCAGUAAGGAAUAUUGGUCAAUGGGCGGAAGCCUGAACCAGCCAUGCCGCGUGCAGGAAGACGGCCCUACGGGUUGUAAACUGCUUUUAUACGGGAAUAAACCUACUUACGUGUAAGUAGCUGAAUGUACUGUAAGAAUAAGGAUCGGCUAACUCCGUGCCAGCCGCCGCGGUAA
rnacentral:rRNA from 1 species